rnacentral:rRNA from 1 species
AGAGUUUGAAUUCUGGCUCAGGACGAACGCUGGCGGCAUGCCUAAUACAUGCAAGUCGAACGAUGAUAUCACUGCUUGCAGUGAUUGAUUAGUGGCGAACGGGUGAGUAACACGUGAGGAACUUGCCCAUGAGCGGGGGACAACAUUCGGAAACGGAUGCUAAUACCCCAUAGGUGGAUUGGUCGCAUGACGAAUUCAUUAAAGGUGGCUUUGCUACCACUCAUGGAUAGCCUCGCGGCGUAUUAGCUAGUUGGUAAGGUAAUGGCUUACCAAGGCAGUGAUACGUAGCCGACUUGAGAGGGUGAUCGGCCACACUGGGACUGAGACACGGCCCAGACUCCUACGGGAGGCAGCAGUAGGGAAUCUUCCACAAUGGGUGCAAACCUGAUGGAGCAAUGCCGCGUGAGUGAAGAAGGUCUUCGGAUCGUAAAGCUCUGUUGUUAGAGAAGAACACGUGCUAGGUAACUACUAGCGCCUUGACGGUAUCUAACCAGAAAGUCACGGCUAACUACGUGCCAGCAGCCGCGGUAAUACGUAGGUGACAAGCGUUGUCCGGAUUUAUUGGGCGUAAAGGGAGCGCAGGCGGUCUGUUUAGUCUAAUGUGAAAGCCCACGGCUUAACCGUGGAACGGCAUUGGAAACUGACAGACUUGAAUGUAGAAGAGGAAAAUGGAAUUCCAAGUGUAGCGGUGGAAUGCGUAGAUAUUUGGAGGAACACCAGUGGCGAAGGCGAUUUUCUGGUCUAACAUUGACGCUGAGGCUCGAAAGCGUGGGGAGCGAACAGGAUUACAUACCCUGGUAGUCCACGCCGUAAACGAUGAGUGCUAAGUGUUGGGGGCUUUCCGGCCCUCGGUGCUGGAGCUAACGUAUUAAGCACUCCGCCUGGGGAUUACGACCGCAAGGUUGAAACUCAAAUGAAUUGACGGGG